rnacentral:lncRNA from 1 species
UUAAUUCAAAAUAAAAAAAUAAAAAAAACAACAAGGAUAAACCCGUGAACAUGGAGUUAUGAAAAAUAAAUAUAGACAUAUAGGAAUCAAAACCCAACUUUAAAACUCUAAUUCUAAAGUAAUAAUAGGUAAUAAUAAUGAUAUAGAUAAUACAAAAUAAAUAAAAAUUAAAAAGAAGAAGACAAAGGGGAUGCGCCCCAUUCUUUGCCAGGCUGUGACUUUUUCAAAAUCUAAUUGUCUUAAAAUAUGUGGUAGCCUUAAAAAUAAAUAAAUAAAUGAUACCAAGUCUCUCCAUUAUUAUUAAAACACAAGUAAUAUCAUAGGUAAAGAAUAAAUCUCUUGGAUCAUAUAUUUUGAAAAGUCAUAGCAAAGCAAUAUUUGAAAACUUAAAUUCCAUCUUCUUCUCUCAUUAGCCUAAACUAAA